rnacentral:rRNA from 1 species
UGGGGAAUAUUGGGCAAUGGGCGAAAGCCUGACCCAGCAACGCCGCGUGAAGGAAGAAGGUCUUGGAUUGUAAACUUUUGUCCUAUGGGAAGAAGGAAGUGACGGUACCAUGGGAGGAAGCCCGGCUAACUACGUGCCAGCAGCCGCGGUAAUACGUAGGGGGCGAGCGUUGUCCGGAAUUACUGGGCGUAAAGGGCGCGCAGGCGGCCGAUCAAGUUAGAUGUGAAAUACCUGGGCUUAACCCUGGGAACUGCAUUUAAAACUGGUUGGCUAGGAGUGCAGGAGAGGGAAGCGGAAUUCCUAGUGUAGCGGUGAAAUGCGUAGAUAUUAGGAGGAACACCAGUGGCGAAGGCGGCUUUCUGGACUGUAACUGACGCUGAGGCGCGAAAGCGUGGGGAGCGAACAGGAUUAGAUACC